GAUGAACGCUGGCGGCGUGCCUAAUACAUGCCAGUCGAGCGAACAGACGAGGAGCUUGCUCCUCUGACGUUAGCGGCGGACGGGUGAGUAACACGUGGAUAACCUACCUAUAAGACUGGGAUAACUUCGGGAAACCGGAGCUAAUACCGGAUAAUAUAUUGAACCGCAUGGUUCAACAGUGAAAGACGGUUUUGCUGUCACUUAUAGAUGGAUCCGCGCCGCAUUAGCUAGUUGGUAAGGUAACGGCUUACCAAGGCAACGAUGCGUAGCCGACCUGAGAGGGUGAUCGGCCACACUGGAACUGAGACACGGUCCAGACUCCUACGGGAGGCAGCAGUAGGGAAUCUUCCGCAAUGGGCGAAAGCCUGACGGAGCAACGCCGCGUGAGUGAUGAAGGUCUUCGGAUCGUAAAACUCUGUUAUUAGGGAAGAACAAAUGUGUAAGUAACUAUGCACGUCUUGACGGUACCUAAUCAGAAAGCCACGGCUAACUACGUG
rnacentral:rRNA from 1 species